UCCCAGCCAGCGCAGCAACAGCAAACUCGGGGGGUCCAAAAGAGCCCCCGCUAAAGCUGGGGUGACCCCCCCGUGAGCAUCUCCGAGCUCCGGGGCUUGGGGAGGACAGCACGGUGAUGAUGGCGAUGCCACCAGCACGGCAGCGCUGUCCCCGCUGGCACCGGGCCCUUCCCGCGGACACCGAGCCACGCUGCCAAAGGUGUCCCGGAGCCGCUCCCGAGCCUCUCCUGCUCCGGGUGAUGCCCCAGUUCACCUUCGCCUGUUUCUGUGGCCUCCACGGCUUCUGCAAGAUGAAGAGGAAGAAGGAAGAGGCGGGCGGGGGGCAGGAGACGGCGGUGUGAGGAGCAGCCCCCGCCUGUCCCCUCCUGUCCCCUCCUGUCCCCUCCUGUCCCUCGGAAUGUCACCCCGAGGAUGUCACCCGGGAGCCACAGUGACCCUGCCAGGACCCUGCCAGCACCGAGAAUUCCCUCCUGGUCAGCAAUUCCCAGCAGAGGGACCGGAAAAUUCCAAAAAAGAGGCCAGACCUUGUCCUUGCAGAUCCCAGAGCUGCAGGGUCUGUCCCUGCCUCCUCCCCUCCCCCUGGGACAAUCCCUGGCAUUUCCAGAAACUCGGCAUUUGCUCGUGCUUCAGGAAUUCCUUCCACCUUGGGAUUUUCCAUUCUGUCCUCCAGAACCGCCCGAGGGAUGCUGGAGCCGAUAAAUCCCGCGGAUAUCAGAGACAAUGGGGUGAACACCCAGCAAUUCCCGAGGAUUUUUCCCUCCUUUGGAGCUCUCAGAUUUCCUUUGGGAUGCAGGAAUGUGUGAGGUCCUUCCCAGCUCGGAUCCGCCUGGAAUUCCUCAAAUCCCCGUGGAUUCCCAGCGCUCCUGGAAGGAGCCUCAACCUCUGAAAGCGGAGCCACGCUCCCCAAAGAUGAAUUUAUUCGCACAGCAAUAAUUCUUUUUUAACCCCCCACACCCAGGAAAGGAUCCAACUUCCCUCGGAACUGGGAAAAAAAAAAACAAAAACCGAAUUUAAAAAACCUUUAAAAAAUCUUUUUCUCCCCAGAAAUCAAAGCUGUCCCUUCUCCUCUCCACAGGGACAAUUUUCUUCCAGUCUUCCUACAGGCCAAAAGAAUUUGUGGCUGCCCCAAAACUCGGCGUUUUUCCAAAUGUUAUCCCAAGACAAAGCUCCAGGUGGCCCAGGGAAGCUCCCAAAGCUUUGGGAAAACGCUGAUUUCAUUAUUUUCCCGUUUUUGCACAUCAGCAGAGCCUCCCCAGUUCCACCUUUGCAUCCUCAGCGCUGCCCUUGGCGAGGACCUUCGGACCAGCUCUGUGCCAAAAA